GACGAACGCUGGCGGCGUGCUUAACACAUGCAAGUCGAACGGAAAGGCCCUGCUUUUGUGGGUUGCUCGAGUGGCGAACGGGUGAGUAACACGUGAGUAACCUGCCCUUGACUUUGGGAUAACUUCAGGAAACUGGGGCUAAUACCGGAUAGGAGCUCCUGCUGCAUGGUGGGGGUUGGAAAGUUUCGGCGGUUGGGGAUGGACUCGCGGCUUAUCAGCUUGUUGGUGGGGUAGUGGCUUACCAAGGCUUUGACGGGUAGCCGGCCUGAGAGGGUGACCGGCGACAUUGGGACUGAGAGACGGCCCAGACGCCUACGGGAGGCAGCAGUGGGGAAUAUGGCACAAUGGGCGGAAGCCUGAUGCAGCAACGCCGCGUGCGGGAUGACGGCCUUCGGGUUGUAAACCGCUUUCGCCUGUGACGAAGCGGGAGUGACGGUAAUGGGUAAAGAAGCACCGGCUAACUACGUG
rnacentral:rRNA from 1 species